rnacentral:pre_miRNA from 1 species
UAGAAUUUUGACUCUUCAUUUUAUUUGAAAAUUUUUAUGAUUAAUAUUUUUAUUGUUACUGCAUGAUAAAACAUGAAUAGUAUUUUACGUGCAACUAAUUUUUUUCAAUUUUUUAAUAAAUUUUUUAAAUAAGACGGAUGGCGAAAACCCGGAAAUC